AAAUAACAAACAAGGAGUUGGAAAAUUGAUGGGGAAAAUACAGUGAGGCACAACAAAGAUCUAAUACAUAGCAUAAAUUCAAAAUCCAGAGUGAAUUGAAACCCAAUUUAAUUGAAAAACAUAACAUAACAAGUCAUUGUAAAUCCAAAAUCCUUUGUUCUAAAACAAAAACAGGAUUACACCAAAACUUAAUUUGUCACCCAUAUUAACUUUAUCACUUCUGUUCUUCUCUAAUCUCCCUUUCUCCUGAAAGAACAACCCUCGGUGAGUCUAGCACGCCCACCAGUUGGCUGGCACAAGACCGUCUGGCAGUUACCGCAAACCACAACAGUCUGCGAGUGGCUGAACACCGUUGUUCUGCACACAUAUAGAGAGAAAGAGACUGAGAAGCGAUCCUAGUUAUAUUUGUACGACAGAAACUAAUAUGAAAGAUGUUAUUGAGGGUCAAAUCGGAACUGAACCAAACUCAGGUCCUUACCUCAAAGAUUCAGUUCGUGUUCAUAUACUUUCUACUUUCCGUAGGCGACUACUAUCUUGGCUUAACAGAAGAAUUCAUAUAUAACCUCUUCAGACGUCAACUAACUGGUUCAUCAAACACUACCUAACUCAGGUCCUUCCUCAAAGAUUCAGGUCGUGUUCAUAUACUUUCUACUUUCCGUAAGCAACUAUCUUGGUUAAUUAUAUAAUCUCUCUACAGACGUCAACUAACUGGUUCAUCAAGCACUACCAACUCUGUUUGGAGAAGUUCGUUUCCUUUUAUACAAAAAGCAUUUUAAUUAUUCUUUGGUUGUAUAAAUUAGAAUGAUUUUUCGGAUAAAUUUCAAGGAUGAGUUCUCCUAACUUGUUUUCCAGCUUCAAAUACUACUUAUUAUGGGAUAUUAAUGAAUUCAUCAACUUUACUUAUCAUCAACCAUUCUUCAACUCUACUUUUUUCCAAGCUUUAAUCACCAAAUACUAUAUUUCAACUUCAAAUAUACUUCUUUUUUCUAAAUUCUAAAAUAUCACUAAAUUGAUCAACUUUACUUUCCAUUAACCAUAUCUUAACUUCAACUAUACUACUUUUUCUAAGUUUGAAAAUAUUACCAAGUUGAUCAACUUCAAUUUUCAAAUAUCAUUCUUCAAUCUCAAACGCUACAACGUUCCAAAUAUCACUAAAUUCAUCGACUUUACUUCUCCAUUAACCAUAUCUCAACUUCAAAUAUUCUACUUUUUCUAAGUUCUAAAAUAUCACUAAGUUGAUCAACUUUAAUUUUCAAAUACUACCAUUUUUCAAUCUCAAAUACUACUACGUUCCAAAUAUCACUAAAUUCAUCAACUUUACUUCUCCAUUAACCAUAUCUCAACUUCAAAUAUCAGUACUUGGUUCUAAAUAUCACUAAAUUCAAGUCAAAAGCACCAAACUAAGAUAAAUGAACAAAAAGAAAAACUUACAUGUUGAAGCAACCCUGGCACUUCACAUCCUAAACAACACAGCAAAACAAAUCACAGAUUAGUUUCAAAAACUAUAUACAUAAAUUUAAACCACAAAUACAUGAAUUCAAAAGAAUAUACAAAUACACUGACAAACUUUUUCCUUUACCAUGAAGAAAGAGUUAGGAGAUUGAACCAAACGCUUGAGCUUGUGCUUUCUCUUCUCAUGCUCAGCUGGUGGGUUCAACAAGUCAACAUCAUUUGGAA
rnacentral:lncRNA from 1 species